GUCUAUGGCCAUGCCACCCUCAACGAGCCCCAUGUCUGAUUUUGGAAGCUAAGCAGGACCGGGCCUCGUUAGUACUUGGAUGGGAGACCACCUAGGAAGACCAGGUGCUGUGGCAU
rnacentral:rRNA from 1 species